AUCAUGAUACCAGUACUCAAUCGUGUUGACCUUGGGUUGAAGACUAUAUCAAGGCCUAAAGUUAGUGGGCUGAAUCACAUAACAAUCCCUCGUCCGAAUGGCUCAGAGAAAGCAAGCUGAAAAGAUGGCCAAAGUUGGUCGUGUUGACAAGGAGAGUUCAGUCCUAGCCCCAUACCUUACUAUUGUAGGUUUUGCGUUUGCCUAUGAAUAUUAUCAACGUAUAGAGCAUCACAAGGACGUGAUGGCCAUACUGGCAGGAUGUCAAGGGAAAGGAAGAAAAUGAUGUUCGAUUCAAGUGGUACUGGCCAUCGUUUCAGGGGCGGAGCCAUGCACCUAAAAAACACGCCCAAAUUGAUGCCAACUUGAAGCAACGAAUCAUAGAAUCUCUAACUUUCGA